GUGGACUUUCAGCGACCACGGUGGGAUUCGAACCCACGACCUUCAGAUCCGAAGUCUGACGCGCUCAUCCACUGCGCUACGCGGCCAUUAACGUGACGAGCUUGGGCACAAGAACAAACACGACGACCAAGAGAAACCUAUCGCAAGCUUUGGAGAAGGCGAGAGUGAUCGAUCUAAGCUAGUUGGAGUCGCGGUUUUGUGAGUAUCUAGUGUCUAAGUUCCCGGUGAUCACGGCCGCAUCGUGCAACUUGGAUUAUCUAACUCGAAAGCUAAGUUAUAGACUCGUUGCGUACGAUAAAAACAAAGUUUCUCUAUACUUUCAUCGUGGUUCCUGUCUUUGAGAAAAGUUGUGACAGGUUUCCUUGGGAGAAAUAUAGAACUAUAAGUACCUUUGGCUACACUUCCGCAAACUUCGUAAGUACCUCUCUUACUUUUUUUACUGAGCGAUCCAUUGGACAUUAGUAA